GGAUAACUACGGAAAAGCUGUAGCUAAUACUUGCUUUAGCACUCUUGAUUAAGUUCUUGAGUGUGUACUUGUUAAGCCUUUUAAGAAAAAAGUUAUUAACUUAAGGAAUUAUAACAAAGAAGCAACACGUAAAUGGAUUUUCCAUUUUUUAGUGUGUAUCAAUCGAGUUUCUGACCUAUCAGCUUUUGAUGUUAGGGUAUUGGCCUAACAUGGCUAUGACGGGUAACGGGGAAUUAGAGUUCGAUUCCGGAGAGGGAGCCUGAGAAAUAGCUACCACAUCUAAGGAAGGCAGCAGGCGCGUAAAUUACCCAAUUCUAAAGAAGAGAGGUAGUGACAAGAAAUAACAAUACAAGGCCAAUCUGGCUUUGUAAUUGGAAUGAUGGGAAUUUAAAACCUUCCCAAAACUCAAUUGGAGGGCAAGUCUGGUGCCAGCAGCCGCGGUAAUUCCAGCUCCAAUAGCGUAUAUUAAAAUUGUUGCAGUUAAAACGCUCGUAGUUGAAUUUCAAAGAAUCGAUAUUUUAAGUAGCACUUUGUAGAUUAAUCCACAUAACUGAUACUACGUAUCGACUUUGUGCGCAUUUUUCUACUUAUGUGUUCUUUUAAUUAAAAUGAUUCUUUUUAAGAUCUUUCUUUUUUGUUUCGGCAUUUUAGGAGAUCUUGUUACUUUGAGUAAAUUAGAGUGUUCAAAGCAAACAGAUUAUAGCAUCUUUAUGCGUUUGAAUACUACAGCAUGGAAUAACAAAAUUGAACAAGUCAGAAUUUUGUUCUUUUUUCUUAUUUUGGCUUAGUUACGAUUAAUAGGAGUAGCUUGGGGGCAUUUGUAUUCAGAUGUCAGAGGUGAAAUUCUUAGAUUUUCUGGAGACAAACAACUGCGAAAGCAUUUGCCUAAAAUACUUCCAUUAAUCAAGAACGAAAGUUAAGGGAGUGAAGACGAUCAGAUACCGUCGUAAUCUUAACCAUAAACUAUGCCGACUAGGCUUUGGAUGAAAGAUUUUAAAAUAAGAGUUUUUUCUCUGAGGAGUUAAAACUCUUAGAUUGC
rnacentral:rRNA from 1 species